rnacentral:pre_miRNA from 1 species
ACUCUACUCCCUCCGUUUCGAAUUACUUGUCGCAAGUAUGGAUGUAUCUAGAUGUAUUUUAGUUGUAGAUACAUCCAUUUCUACGACGAGUAAUUUGGAAUGGAGGGAGUACUUG